GUAUGAGGGAGAGGGUGACAGCUAUGUUUGCGGGGCUUAGUGAAGCGUCGCAUGAAGAAAAGAUACCCAGUGGAGCUGCAAGGUUUUGCCACAUAGCACAUCGCUCUAGGCACGCAGCAGGGGGAACCCCCACACAGGAGACGGCGUCUACAGCCUCCUAACACUGAAGACACGCAAACACCAGCCAACAGUUCUCGACGGCGAGUGGAGCCGAGCAGCCUCUGCGCCCCCCGGUAAUAACUCACCACCUCUCUUCCCUCCUUUCCUGUCUUGGAGGGAGUCCCGAGCAGGGGAGAAGGGCCAGGAUCGUUCAAGAAGUCUCGGUUUCUCUACUGCACGGAACCGUCCUUUCCUCGAUAAAGGCAUUAUUUAAAAGCUUGAAUCUUGAAAUCAGAAUAACUUAUGCAGAAUAAGUCAACGGUACACUUUGCCGAAAGAAUUCAUUCAUUCCCCAUGGCUGAUUCCAGACUUUUUGCUUCACUCCAAGUCUGCUUCCGAAGAUUGAGUCAUGAGCUGCGGGGUUCAUAGGCAUGAAGCAGAAAGGAUGAGAUCAAGGAGGAUGUCAAUCAACAGCAGAAAGAUCAAGCUCCCCAACCAUAAAGUGUCCCCACCUGGGCAUCCUGGAAUAUAUGGAGAUGAACAGCUUCCAUCCUUGGAGCCUCUUCAACUAUGAAUCAGCGUGUCCCUUCCACUGUGCUGAGGGGCUUAUCCUAAAUGGAACAAGUAGGGUGGUAGGGCCUGUGCCCUCAGGACCUUGCAGAACCUGGGAUCCUUAGCCAUCUCCAGGGAAACCCCAAUUGGCUACCAAAGAAGUCACAGAAAAACUGCCAGGCUUAAUCAGACAAGUUAGAACGAGGUUGCCUGAUGGAAAGCAAAAGGAAGGCAGAGACCUCACGAUCUGCAGCUACCAAGAAGGAUGGGUUUCUUGGAAACACAGCAACACUUGGAUGCCCUUUUAGAAGUGCAAAAAGUGCCAAAAUUCCCGAGCCCUACUUGCACACUUCUGGUCUUCUUCUCUCCCACAAGAAGUCACAGGAGAGCCGUCAGCCUUCCUCAGAUGACGGGUGAGAACAAGACUGCCAGAUGGAAGGCAAAGGAGAGCUGGUCUUGUGAACCUAUUUGAAAGCCUUUGAAGAUUGAGAGGCACCAUUUUUCACUGAAGAAGCAUUCGAAACCUUGCAUGAGCACUGCAGGUCUCAGCCAUUUGUCUAACUUGUAUUCUGAUAAUUGUGUCAUCACUCAUUGAGUUAUUUUACAUUGCUCAGCCAUUUAUUUGUUUCAGCAUUCUGAUUAUUGUGUUAUUGACCACUGGGUCACUUUACAUUGUAUGCUCAUUCUUUACCUGUAUAUAUUCCCUUACUAUUGAUAUUAUAGAUAUCUUGACAUCUACCAGGUACUUCAUUUUUUGUGUUAUGAGACCUGCUUGGGAGACCCAUAAGCAUAAAGUUUGGGCUGCAAAAGGGGAGUCAUUCUUAACACCCACCAGAUGCCUCUGGGAAGGCCACAAGUAGGAGAUGAAGGUAUGCCCCUUCUCCUGCUGUUGCUGCCCUGCAAUUGGUAUUCAGAGGCAUCUGUAGGUUUUUUUGUGAUCAUCAUGUGGGAAAGAAAAGCAAACACACUCUGUUAAUUAUCUCACUGGUGAUUGCAAUCAUCUCAUGGUGACUGCAAUUCUUCUAUUGUGUUGUAAGCACUUCUUCCCUCUCUAUGGCUCCCAUCACACAGCUUCCUCGGCUUCAAACAUGUCACCAAGGCAAAAUUGAGAGCAACUUCAGCGAUAAGAGGAAACAGAGCACAGUGACAUUAGGAAGACAAAAUCCCCCCCCCCAUUUCUCUCCCCUUAUCUAUGUGUGUGUGCGUGUGGAACAUGGGUGAGAUUGAAAGAUGGCAAAUUCCUGCAGAGCCAGAUCCUUUUAGAGUUGUGCUUGUCUCACCCACUCAGAGUUGCAAGGCUGGGAGAGGGGUGGGGAUACUGCCUAUAAGUCUCCCUUAAUACCAACUGGAUUAGGUCAGCAGAAGGACAAUUGCUGCUGUUCUUGGGCCUAGUUUGCUCACCCAAGAAAGGGGUAGUAAUUGUAAGGCAGAUCUUGUCUCAGCCAUAGAAUGGUAUCUGCACUGUAGAUUAACUGACUUUUCAGAUAUAUGUUUAAACAUCUAUCUGCAGAGAAGCCCUGCAGCGGAGGGAGAGACCAAGUGCUUCCCAGACAGCCCCCAGGGUGAGAGGCUGGAGUUGUGUCUCUUGCUGCUGCUAUUGAGUGCCGGCCUGCAGGAGAGGGAGUGGGUGAGACCACCUGCCAGCCCCUGGGAGAGGAGAGGGAGUGGGUGAGACCACCUGCCAGCCCCUGCUUGACCUGUGGGACUGUGGCCUCUGGUUGUGGCUGCUCUGCGGGGAGUCUGUGCAGGAUCGGGACCCUGGAGUGACUCAGCAAUCCCUGCAUACCAUCUGACCAGAGUGGCCAUCUCCGGGCCUAUAAAGUGAUGCUGCUUGUGGCAGUGGGGUGACACCAAAAGGGGUUGCCCCUUUGGGGGAGCCACUUCGGGGGACAGCGGAAGUGAGAGCCGGGUUUCCUGGCCCAAGAAUUUACAUAUGGGUGGGUAUUUAAUAGUGUGGAUUCUGUUUCAGUUAGUCCUGGGUGAUUCUGUUUUAAUUAGUCCUGCUAUAGAAUUAAUUAGUUUUAAUUAGUUCUGCUUGUUGGAGGGAGAGAAAGCGAAAUAAAUGUUGUUCAGGCAGCAAACGCAGCCUGAAAUGAGGGGGAAAGAGCUUGCUCGGGCUCUCCAGAGCCGAGCGGUGCACAAGCCAGGUCACGCCCCCUUUGCAAGGGGCGAGUGUUACUGGAGGGGAGGUGCCGCUGCUGGGAGAAAUCAUGGAUGGGCGGCACGUUAAAAGGUAAGGGGGGGGUACCCUUCCCUCCUCGACCCUGUACACCCUCCCUGCAGUCAGCCACUGACAACACACCACAUCCCUCCACGACAGUGAUGAUUUUUAUAGACAAAAGGGGUGGGGUUUCGACACACACAUACACCACAGCUACCACACGCAGCCCCCAGAGAGGCAUGGCAAAAUUUAAGGGGCAACGACUUUGCUCCUCAGAUUUUGCCACUACAGGCAGAUGCCUCCUCUGCCUAUGCCCAGUGUUCCCUCUAACAGGGAUUCCCAGCUGUUGUUGACGACAACUGCCAGAAUUCCCAGCUGCAAUAGCUUUUGCAUGGGAAUUAUGGGAGUUGUAGUCAACAACAUCUGGGAAUCCCUGCUAGAGGGAACACUGCCUAUGCCUUAAUCUACCAUUGCAUCCAUGAUCUGAUUCUGGAUGAAGGUGCCAACCUGGAAUGUAUUACAGAGACUUGGCUGGGGGAGGCUGGUGGCCUGGUCUAGUCCCAGCUUCUCACUCCAGGGUACUCUGUUGAGGAGUGGGUGAGGGACGGUGGGCAGGGAGGCAGAGUGGCUGUUAUAGAAUAACAUCUCCCUUACCAGGAUCCCUGUUGAAGUGUCAGACCGUAUUGAAUAUGUGUACUUAAGUUUGGAGACCAGGGAUAGACUGGGUCUUCUGUUGGUGUACUGAUCGCCCCGCUGCUCAAUGGAGUCACUAACUGAGCUGAUGGACUUGGUUUUGGGCUUGUGGCUUUUGGUGGUGAGGCGGGGGGCUUCAUUUCGGAACCAAUAUGUCCAGGGCAGUUCAGGAGUUCAUAGCGGCCAUGACAACUAUGGGCCUAUCCCAAGUGGUCUCGAGACCAACGCAAAUUGCUGGUCACAUGCUUGAUUUGGUUUUUCACUCUGAUCAGCAUGGUGUUCCGUGGGUGGGGACUCUAUGAUUUCCUCAUUGUCAUGGAUGAACCACCAUCUGGCUAAGGUUGGACUCACAAUCACUUCCCACCUUCGCAGGGGUGAGGGACCUAUUAGAAUGAUCCUCCCGAGAAGGUUAUCGGAUCCAAUAGGAUUUCAAGAAGCUUGGGAGGGUUUUAGUGUUGGCUCUGCUGGCAAUCUUGUUGAUGCCCUGGUGGAGAACUGGAACAGCAAACACACCGGGGCAGUAGAGAUGAUUGCUCCUAAGCAUCCUCUGACCCAUUUCAAAACUGGCCCCUUGGUAUACAGAAGAACUAUGGGGGCUGAAGCAGUGAAGUAGACGACUGGAGCGCAAGUGAAGAAAGAUUCAACUUGAAUCUGAUAGAUUGCAACAGAGUGCAUUUGAAGAUCUAUGCUCAGGCAAUACGUGUGGCAAUGCGGUUCUUUUCUGCCCAUAUUGCAUCCUCAAGUUCAUGUCAAGCAGAGUUGUUCAAGGUUGUGAGAGGACUAGUAUGUGCCCCUCCUCCCUUGAAUCAGAAUCAGGAACCAUCGAUUAACCACUGACAUGUUUAAUGAAUUCUUUGUGGGGGAAAUCUCUCGUAUUCGGGCCGACUUAGAUUAUGUCUCCACAAUUACUUCAGUGUCUGAUGUGGAGGUGUCCAGCGACUUCUCUUGUGUGGUUAGGUUGGAUCAAUUCCAGUUUGUGACUCCUGAGGAUGUGAACAAGCUGAUUGGAAUGGUGUGGCCUUCCACCUGUUCUCUUGACUCUUGCCCAACAUGGCUUAUACAAUCUGGCAGGGGGGUUGUUGUAGAAGGCCUGGUAGAGAUUAUAAAUGCUUCUCUGAGGGAAGGCAAGAUGCCUCCUUAUCUUAAGGAGGCAAUUAAUAGACCACUUCUGAAGAAGCCUACCUCAGAUCCCUCAGAGUUUAGCAACUACAGGCCUGUCUCCAACCUACCGUGGUUGGGCAAGGUAAUUGAGCGGGUGGUAGUCUCCCAAUUGCAGGAAGUCUUGGAGGAAACUGAUUAUCUAGACCCAUUUCAGACUGACUUUUGGGCAGGCUAUGGGGUGGAGACUGCCUUGGUCGGCCUGAUAAAUGAUCUCCAAUUGGCAAUUGACAAAGUGGGACUCUAUUGGUCCUUUUGGACCUCUUGGCGGCUUUCAGUAUUAACAACCAUAGUAUCCUGGAACAUCUGAGGGGGUUGGAAGUGGGAGGCACUGCUUUGCGAUGGUUCCGCUCCUACCUCUCGGGUAGGUUCCAUAUGGUGUCCCUUGGAGACCAUUGUUCUUCAAAAUCUGAACUUUCCUAUGGCGUCCCUCAGGGUUCCUUAUUGUCUCCGAUGUUUAACAUAAAACACAAAACUGCUGGGAGAUAUCAUCCGGAGAUUUGGUGCAGUGUGCUAUCAGUAUGCUGAUGACACUCAAAUCUAUUUCUCCAUGUCAACAUCAUUGGGAGAGGGCAUAUCCUCCCUAAAUGCUUGCUUGGAGGUGGUGAUGGGCUGGAUGAGGGAUAACAAAUUCAGGCUGAAUCCAAAUAAGACGGAGGUACUCAUUGUGCGGGGUCAAACCUCGAGAGAUGAGUAUGAACUGCCUGUUCUGGACGGUGUCACACUUCCGCGGAAAGAACAGGUACACAGUCUGGGGGUGCUGCUGGAUCCAGGCCUCUCUCUGGUGUCCCAGCUUGAGGCAGUGGCCAGAAGUGCUUUCUAUCAGCUUUGGCUGAUACGCCAGCUGCACCCGUUUCUUGAGAUAAACGACCUCAGAACAGUGGUACAUGUGCUGGUAACCUCCAGACUGGAUUAUUGCAAUGUGCUCUAUGUGGGGCUACCCUUGUAUGUAGUCCGGAAACUACAGUUGGUCCAGAAUGCGGCAGCCAGGUUGGUCUCUUGGGUCAUCUCGGAGAGACCAUGUUACUCCCAUAUUGAAAGAGCUACAGUGACUGCAGCUAAGCUUCCGGGCAAAAUACAAGGUACUGCUUAUAACCUAUAAAGCCUUAUAUGGCUUGGGCCCUGGGUAUUUAAGAGAAUGUCUUCUUCGUCAUGAACCCCACCGCCCAUUGAGAUCAUCAGGAGAGGUCCAUCUACAGUUGCCACCUGCUUGUCUGGUGGCUACUACGGGACGGGCCUUCUCCACUGCUUCCCCGAAGCUUUGGAAUAUGCUCCCUGAUGAAAUAAGAGCCUCCCCAUCUCUGACAACUUUUAAAAAGUCUUUAAAGACACAUCUGUUCACCCAAGCUUUUAAUUAAAUAUUGUUUUAAUUAAAUAAUUUAAUUUAAUUGACCCAUGCUAACUGGGCAAAGAAGCACCUUUUAAACAUGGUGAUUCUCUUUAUUUAGCAGGGGGAGAGUAACUGUGCCCUAUCCACCCCCAGUACAGUACCUCCAGUGACUGUUGCUGGUGUCUAUCUAACGUUUCUUUUUAGCUUGUGAGCCCUUUGGGGACAGAGAGGAAGCCAUCUUCUUAUUUAUUAUUUCUCUAUGUAAAGUGCUUUGGAAACUUUUGUUGAAAAGCAGUAUAUAAGUAGUAGUAGUAGUUGUUGUUUUAAUAGUUUUAACAUUGUUUUAAAAUAGUUUUAAAAUUUUAAACUGUUUUAAUGUUUUAACCUUUUUGGUUAUCACUUAUUUUAUUUUAACUGUUUUAACUUUUCUGUUAUUUAUUUUGCUUUGUUGUAAGCCACACAGAGAUGUAAGUUUGGGGCGGUAUAAAAAUAUGUUUAAUUAAAUAUUGUGUUCCAA